GAUGAACGCUGGCGGCGUGCCUAAUACAUGCAAGUCGAGCGAAUGGAUUAAGUGCUUGCUCUUAUGAAGUUAGCGGCGGACGGGUGAGUAACACGUGGGUAACCUGCCCAUAAGACUGGGAUAACUCCGGGAAACCGGGGCUAAUACCGGAUAACAUUUUGAACCGCAUGGUUCGAAAUUGAAAGGCGGCUUCGGCUGUCACUUAUGGAUGGACCCGCGUCGCAUUAGCUAGUUGGUGAGGUAACGGCUCACCAAGGCAACGAUGCGUAGCCGACCUGGGAGGGGGAUCGGCCACACUGGGACGGAGACACGGCCCAGACUCCUACGGGGGGCAGCAGUAGGGAAUCUUCCGCAAUGGACGAAAGUCUGAAGGAGCAACGCCGCGUGAGUGAUGAAGGCUUUCGGGUCGUAAAACUCUGUUGUUAGGGAAGAACAAGUGCUAGUUGAAUAAGCUGACACCUUGACGGUACCUAACCAGAAAGCCACGGCUAACUACGUGCCAGCCGCCGCAGUAA
rnacentral:rRNA from 1 species